GGCUAACCUGCCCUUGGGACGAGAACAACCCCGGGAAACUGGGGCUAACUCUCGAUAGGCGAAGAACUCUGGAAUGAGUCUUCACCCAAAAAGUUUAAGGUUAUGCUCUUUAAACCGCCCAAGGAUGGGGCCGCGACCGAUCAGGUUGUUGGUGAGGUAAUGGCUCACCAAGCCUUUUACCGGUGCGGGCCGUGGGAGCGGGAGCCCGGAGAUGGGCACUGAGACAAGGGCCCAGGCCCUACGGGGCGCAGCAGUCGCGAAAACUUUGCAAUAAGCGAAAGCUUGACAGGGCUAUCCCGAGUGCCAUCCGCUGAGGAAGGCUUUUACCCAGUCUAGAACGCUGGGGGAAUAAGGAGAGGGCAAGUCUGGUGUCAGCCGCCGCGGUAAUACCAGCUCUCCGAGUGGUGUGGAUGUUUAUUGGGCCUAAAGCAUCCGUAGCUGGCUAGGUUAGUCCCCUGUUAAAUCCACCGAAUUAAUCGUUGGAUUGCGGGGGAUACUACUUGGCUAGGGGACGAGAGAGGCAGACGGUAUUUCCGGGGUAGGGGUGAAAUCCUAUAAUCCCGGGAAGACCACCAGUGGCGAAGGCUGUCUGCUAGAACGCGCCCGACGGUGAGGGAUGAAAGCUGGGGGAGCGAACCGGAUUAGAUACCCGGGUAGUCCCAGCUGUAAACGAUGCAGACUAGGUGUUUGGACGGCCACGUGCCGUUCUAGUGCCGCAGGGAAGCUGUUAAGUCUGCCGCCUGGGGAGUACGAUCGCAAGAUUGAAACU
rnacentral:rRNA from 1 species